UACGUAGGCAGCAAGCGUUGUUCGGAGUUACUGGGCGUAAAGGGGUGUGUAGGCGGUCUUCUAAGUUUGGUGUGAAAUCUCCCGGCUCAACUGGGAGGGUGCGCCGAAAACUGGGAGGCUAGAGUACUGGAUGGGAGAGUGGAAUUCCUGGUGUGAGCGGUGAAAUGCGUAGAUAUCAGGAGGAACACCGGUGGUGGUAGACGGCUCUCUGGACAGUAACUGACGCUGAGACACGAAAGCGUGGGUAGCAAACAGG
rnacentral:rRNA from 1 species